rnacentral:lncRNA from 1 species
UUAAAAUGCCCCUUGGCAAACAUUAUCCCGCCUGACCAUUUGAUUUUUCCUCUUCUUCUUUUUUUUUCGGUUCAAGCAUCAUUUUUUUUUUUUUUUUUAGCAGGAUCGACCUCGAUUCCUCUGAUUCGCUCAUAACAAGCCUCGGUAGCUUGAUGGACAGCACUCCAUAAGUGCACUGAUGCAAACUCAAAAGUAUGAGUUAUCCCAACCGGUCAAACAACUUGCCCCAGGUCUACCGGAUGCCCCUGUUUUCUUCGGGACUUUGUCAUCAUGUCCUCAACAUGGGAUUUGCUUCCACGAUGAAUCAUAUCAUGAAACAAAGUCACCGUAGACUUUUGAUACGUGGCACCGGCCUCUUGUGAUGGAAC